ACGGAAGGCAGCAGUGAGGAAUAUUGGUCAAUGGGCGAGAGCCUGAACCAGCCAAGUAGUGUGAAGGAUGACGGCCCUAUGGGUUGUAAACUUCUUUUGUUUGGGAAUAAAGUCAGGGACGCGUCCCUGUUUGUAUGUACCUUACGAAUAAGCAUCGGCUAAUUCCGUGCCAGCAGCCGCGGUAAUACGGAAGAUGCGAGCGUUAUCCGGAUUUAUUGGGUUUAAAGGGAGCGUAGGCGGCCUUUUAAGUCAGCGGGUAAAUGUCAGCGCCCAACGUUGGCAUGCCGUUGAAACUGGAGGGCUUGAAUACACACAAGGUAAGUGGAAUUCGUCGUGUAGCGGUGAAAUGCUUAGAUAUGACGAAGAACUCCGAUUGCGAAGGCAGCUUACUGGGGUGCGAUUGACGCUGAGGCUCGAAAGUGCGGGAAUCAAACAGGAUUAGAUACCCUGGUA
rnacentral:rRNA from 1 species